GCUGGCGGCGUGCCUAAUACAUGCAAGUCGAGCGGAUCUUGUCCUUCGGGACAAGGUUAGCGGCGGACGGGUGAGUAACACGUAGGCAACCUGCCCUCAAGACUGGGAUAACCUCCGGAAACGGAUGCUAAUACCGGAUAUGCGGUCUCUCCUCCUGGAGGGAUCGGGAAAGACGGAGCAAUCUGUCACUUGGGGAUGGGCCUGCGGCGCAUUAGCUAGUUGGUGGGGUAACGGCUCACCAAGGCGACGAUGCGUACCGACCUGAAGGGUGAUCGGCCACACUGGGACUGAGACACGGCCCAACUCCUACGGGAGGCAGCAGUAGGGAAUCUUCCGCAAUGGACGCAAGUCUGACGGAGCAACGCCCGUGAGUGAGGAAGGCCUUCGGGUC
rnacentral:rRNA from 1 species